rnacentral:rRNA from 2 species
UGCAAGUCGAACGAACUCUGGUAUUGAUUGGUGCUUGCAUCAUGAUUUACAUUUGAGUGAGUGGCGAACUGGUGAGUAACACGUGGGAAACCUGCCCAGAAGCGGGGGAUAACACCUGGAAACAGAUGCUAAUACCGCAUAACAACUUGGACCGCAUGGUCCGAGUUUGAAAGAUGGCUUCGGCUAUCACUUUUGGAUGGUCCCGCGGCGUAUUAGCUAGAUGGUGGGGUAACGGCUCACCAUGGCAAUGAUACGUAGCCGACCUGAGAGGGUAAUCGGCCACAUUGGGACUGAGACACGGCCCAAACUCCUACGGGAGGCAGCAGUAGGGAAUCUUCCACAAUGGACGAAAGUCUGAUGGAGCAACGCCGCGUGAGUGAAGAAGGGUUUCGGCUCGUAAAACUCUGUUGUUAAAGAAGAACAUAUCUGAGAGUAACUGUUCAGGUAUUGACGGUAUUUAACCAGAAAGCCACGGCUAACUACGUGCCAGCAGCCGCGGUAAUACGUAGGUGGCAAGCGUUGUCCGGAUUUAUUGGGCGUAAAGCGAGCGCAGGCGGUUUUUUAAGUCUGAUGUGAAAGCCUUCGGCUCAACCGAAGAAGUGCAUCGGAAACUGGGAAACUUGAGUGCAGAAGAGGACAGUGGAACUCCAUGUGUAGCGGUGAAAUGCGUAGAUAUAUGGAAGAACACCAGUGGCGAAGGCGGCUGUCUGGUCUGUAACUGACGCUGAGGCUCGAAAGUAUGGGUAGCAAACAGGAUUAGAUACCCUGGUAGUCCAUACCGUAAACGAUGAAUGCUAAGUGUUGGAGGGUUUCCGCCCUUCAGUGCUGCAGCUAACGCAUUAAGCAUUCCGCCUGGGGAGUACGGCCGCAAGGCUGAAACUCAAAGGAAUUGACGGGGGCCCGCACAAGCGGUGGAGCAUGUGGUUUAAUUCGAAGCUACGCGAAGAACCUUACCAGGUCUUGACAUACUAUGCAAAUCUAAGAGAUUAGACGUUCCCUUCGGGGACAUGGAUACAGGUGGUGCAUGGUUGUCGUCAGCUCGUGUCGUGAGAUGUUGGGUUAAGUCCCGCAACGAGCGCAACCCUUAUUAUCAGUUGCCAGCAUUAAGUUGGGCACUCUGGUGAGACUGCCGGUGACAAACCGGAGGAAGGUGGGGAUGACGUCAAAUCAUCAUGCCCCUUAUGACCUGGGCUACACACGUGCUACAAUGGAUGGUACAACGAGUUGCGAACUCGCGAGAGUAAGCUAAUCUCUUAAAGCCAUUCUCAGUUCGGAUUGUAGGCUGCAACUCGCCUACAUGAAGUCGGAAUCGCUAGUAAUCGCGGAUCAGCAUGCCGCGGUGAAUACGUUCCCGGGCCUUGUACACACCGCCCGUCACACCAUGAGAGUUUGUAACACCCAAAGUCGGUGGGGUAACCUUUUAGGAACCAGCCGCCUA